CCAUGGCGAGCAACUGAAAGUAACAAAGACAAUAAUGGAAGUGUUGCAAGCCGAAAAUGCCAAAUUGAAGACGAAAAUAGUCCAACAGCAAGGGAAGUUAGACACUAUGGCUGCAAGUUAAAAUCAAUUAUCAUAUGUGGUCUCAAAUCUCACUUCAUUAGUCCUUGCAAAGUCAAAACUAAUACCACUGAUAGGGAUGCGACAUGAUAAACAGUUUCGAGCUUCAAUGGGAAUACACCCAUGCAGUGUUUGUUCAAUGUGUACCAGCUCCUAUCAUACCGCUAGACUUGGAAGCACCAUUCUCACCACCGAAUCUUGACAAUUCUGAUCCUCGCCAAGAAGAUUAAAUUUGUGGGUGUCUUCCAAUCUUUUGUAUUUUCCAUUUC
rnacentral:lncRNA from 1 species